CAAAAAGUUACUACUGAAAUGGGAGGCGAGGGAGUAUGGAAAUGUAUAGUACCUGCGCAUCUAUAGUUGUGCCGGAAAUAUGAGGUGUCAUGGCCUGGUUCGGCAUGUACCGCCAGGGAUGGUCCUUGGGUGCUGGUUGUGGGAACCAAACAUCCCCACUAUAACCUGAAAGAUCGACAGAUGAAAAUCUAACAUGAUUAGAAAUUUGGAGAGAAAAAAGAGAAAAAAAAAUACAAUUAUAACCGAUCUUCUGGCUAUAGUUUACCUCCGAUGUGUCCGCUGGAGCAAGCAUCAGCAACUGCUUGUGUAUCCAUGAUUGCUCCUCUAGCAUUGUUGACGAUAAGGACACCCUUCUUCAUCUUGGAAAUCCUCUCUUUAUCAAACAUUCCUCUAAAACAUAUACCAUGGCCUUCAUCACAUAAUGCUUGCAACAUUUUACAAGCACUCUCUCUCUCUCUCUCUCUCUCUCUCAAAAAGCCUUUCCUUUUUAGGAAAUUUCUCAAUAUAUACUUGCAAUUAACUUCAGAACCUCACAUAUUGCAAGAAAACUAAGAACCAGAAGCAGACUAGCACCAUAAACUUCUUUGGGAACGUAAACAUUACUGGGUUAAAUUAAAAGGAUUUUUACCUCGUUUUCUCAGUUAGAGGGGUGUUGACCACAACUAUGUCACAUUUCUGAAGCAUCACAUCAAGGUCCUCCUCAAAUUUUGCACCAGUCUGCUUCUCCAGUUCUGGAUCCAUUUUCAGGCGGUCAUGAUAGAGGAGAUUGCAAUUGAAAGGCUUCAAUCUCUGUAGCAAAAGCUUGCCAAUUCGUCCAGCACCAACAGUCCCAACAGUUUUUCCUUCAAGAUCAUAAGCUCUGUAUGCUAUACCAGCCACAUUCCAGUCCCCACUAAUGACCUGGUGAUAUCCAGGCAAAAAGUUCCUUACAAGAAUGAGGAUUCUCAUGAGCUCAUCCUCUGCAACCAAAACAACAUUGCUACCAGUGACUUCUGCAACUGUCAACCCUGCGUCAGCUGCAGCCUUUAAAUCAAUGUGAUCAGAACCAAUGCCAGCAGUGAGAAGAAGCUGCAGAUUCUUCGCCUUUUUGAUUCUUUCCGCAGUAACAUAGGCAGGGUGAAAGGGGGUUGUUAUGAGGACAUGAAGAUCGGGAAUAUGCUUUUCAAGUUCUGUGAUGAUAGAAUUGAGAAGUGAGAAGCAAAGCAAUCAUAAUCAUGAAAUGAUAACAAGUUAUAGAAAGCAAUACAAUAACAGUCAGGCGACAACCAAAUCAAUAAUCAUCGAGAUUACUGAUAUGGCAGAUAUCAGCUAAAGCCAAAGGUUCCUGCGGAGCAAAUCUAUAUAGAAAGCCAUUGUCAAUUCUAAAACAUACUCACCACAGUCUGGUCCCUCCUUGUCAUCCGUGACUAUGUACUGAUGCCCUUGCGAUUCCAGCCAGUCGUGUAUGCCCAAACCUCUCUCAACACAGCCCAAGAAAUUCGGAUUCAACUCAGCAUAUUCAUUGGCCUUGUAGAACACACCCACAAUCUUUUUGCUUCCAGCAGUAGACUGAUAAAAGUAACCGCAGAAAACACAUGCAGUCAGAAAAGAAGAAAAUUUUGAAGCAGAAAAGGAAGAUUUUAGCAAGAAGGCAUCAGUUCAAAAUUCCAGAGACAUGUAUCUCCAUUACCAACUCAUAACAUUAUCACUUGAAAUGAGAAACUACCCUAAGAAACCAAAUCUGAUAAGUGAACAGCAACCCCCUAUCAAGAUAAAAGGGCCAAACAUUUCACAUGAGCUUUCUGUGUAAUCCACAUAGUCAAGCAAAGUAAUAAAUCUUGUGAUAAAAAAAGCAAAGGAAGAGACAUCCGUUAGUGUCUGAUGCUAUCAACCUUGGCAGACUAAAUUUCAGUAUGAAGGCAGCUACAUUGUGCACAAGUUUCUUGAUCAUAAACCUCGUUGCUUUGGAACAAAUAUUUGAUUGAAAACAUGUUGUGUUUUUCAAAUGGCAAAAAACAGAAGUACCAAGCGCAAGUUAAUACAAACCAUUCGUCCGCAUCACUUGCAAACCAGGCAAACCCAGCUGCUACAGACGGUCUCUUAUCAGUGCUAAAAAAGCCUAAUUGUCUGUGCAGCUUUCGUUCUCUCUAUACCUUCUGUAGCAUUGUGGCAUAAUAAGCAUACACUUCUUCCUAACGUGACAGACUACAGUUCAUCAAGAGGUUUGACUUUGACUGCGUCUCUGUUGGAACCCACUAAGAUGAUGAUAAUUGUGCGCACCGAUCGACAACCUAGACAUAUCACAAAGCUUCCAUUUUUCCAACUCUCCAACAGAAAGAAAAAGAAAAAAAAAGGUUCCGUUUUCCCCUUCCUAAUUGCCAAGCCGACAAAGACCCAAAACAGCCCACAAGGCCUACUGUCAGUCUGUCGGACACUCGUCAUCGUCGCCAUGCACGACUCUCAACCCCUAAUUAGCGUCGGCACUAAUGAAGCCUGGCUAAUCGAGCAUCAGACGCCGAUCCACAAACCGAAUGCCCACGACCCAAUUUCAAGACGACCCUCUAAAUUCCGAUCAAGCGAACCACCGUCCCGCUACUCAAUUCAGUCACACGCCGCUGCAUCAAUCAAUUAUAGACCCAAAAAACACAGAUAAGCCCAAAAGCAUCCGGAGAACGCACAAUCCAGCAAAACAUAAGCUGGAGAACCAGACUACCCACACAGAACCGAAGAUAAUCAUGCGAAAGCUCGCGAUCAUGCGGACCACAACAGCAGCAGCAGCAGCAGGUCAUCGAAACAGGGGGCGAUGACUAACGGGUCCACUCACAUGGGCAUGUCUAGCGAAAUUCGCAGACGAGCACAGAGCUCUGAUGGCGGAGACACCAGCUCGCUUCAUCGCCAUCUCCGAGCCGAGCGACACUCGCGGUCCAAAGAGAGAUCGGCACCGGAAGACGAAAGAGAAGGCGCGAGAAAACACUCGUGAAGUACUCUGACAGAAAGAGAGGGACGUUUCGUGUUAUAUAAUAAAUAUAGGCGAGGAGGAGUCGCGAGGGGAGGAGGGAGAUCGACUUUUCCUUCGCUUUUGCUUGCGAAGAGAAGGUGCGGAACGCUGGCUCUGGCAAGUGGCAGGUGGCGUGGUCGCUCUGUCUUCUUCGCUUUUGCUUGUCCGAUUCGCGCCCGUCGCUCACCGUUUGGCUUCCGCGAGUGCGCGAUUUCCUCUGGAGACGUAGAUGGUAGGCCGAGAGUUCUGACACGUGGCGGUGACGUUAUUAUCGAAAUUGGAAAUCCCUUUCUUUACAUUUCUCCUUUUUUUUUUUUUCCCUUUAGCAUAUUAUCACGAAAAAAAACCCGCUAAAAACCCAAAAACAUAUAUAUUUAUGACAAAUUUACUCUCGAUUUAUUUUUGUUAAAUUGUAUUAUCAAAUUGCUAAAUUGAAUGAUAUAUAGUUUGAGAUAGAUGUCAAUUUGAGAUUUUUCGUAAUAAAAGGUAAAUUUAUCGUAAAUAUAUCAUUCUAAAGUUUUUUAUAGUAAAAAAUUUAUUCUUUGAUAAAUUUAUCACAAACAUAUCAGUUUGAAAUUUUUUCUAAUUAAGAAAUUAAUUUGAAGUAAAUUUCUCAUAAAUAUAUCAAUUUAAAAUUUUUCAUAAUUUUAACCAUUUUUCUUUUAAGGGACUAUUAUAAAAAGGAAAUGCAGCAUGGGCACUCGUUACUAAAUAUCACUCUCACAUGUACAACAUACAACUUAAAGAUUUUAAGCUUGCAUGUCAACAUAAUUAUGACCUCGCUUAUCUAGAUAAAUUAUCAUUUCCCUUCCAAAACCAUCUUUUUGAAGAAAAAAUCUGUAAAUUGUGACAUGCUUUUCUCUCCACUUCAUCAUUUCUUACCUAUCCAUCGGUGACUAGCUGCCGCCUCCUACCUAGCCCCUCGUCGUCGUCGCCACCUCAAAUCUGGUCCAAAUCAACAUAGGGCGACCCCAUCUAGACCAUAUUAGGCCCGAUCGAUAGGAUACGUGCGAGCUCUAUCAGAGAGCUUAGAAUAGUCGCUCAAAUAAAAACCCGACAUUCACAGACCGGCAAAUCGUGUUUAAUGUAUUUCAGUAAUCAUAUUAAGUCGUACCAUUUGAAAAAAUACUAUAUUUUUGUUCACUUAAUCGUAAUAAAUUCGCGUGAAUUGGUAAUCUUCUCUUCGUACGAAAAUGGAAUCAAUUGAGGAUCGUGACAACUGCCGUAGCAAAUGCUGAUUCGUCCUCCCUUACUGCCUCUCCAGUGUCCAAAGCGGCCAUACGAAUCCUGAUUCGUCCGUCCUUUUUAACUCACGGCUUUUCGGUGUCCAAAGCGGCCGUGCUUUUCCGAACAUUUUGGAAAAUGGAAAUCCUCAGCCGUCCUUGCGGCUUCUCAUGGACCAAAUAGAGCUUGAAUCUUCGUUUAGGCACUGUUUCACUUGUUGAAGAAAAGUUCCCAAAAACUCCAUCAAAUAAAUAAAUGAAAAAGAGGAUUGAAUUAUUUUCAUGCUUUCUCAAUUAAGCCUAUAUACCUAAUUUUGUUUAAUUAAGUCCAUCUGACAACGAAUUCGAUUGAUCAACUGAUGUAAUAGUAUAAUGCGGACAAAAUACGCACAACAUGUGUGUACGUGUUUAAUUGAUGUAGAUUACGUUAGAGUAUAAUGCAGAUGGAUGUGGACAAUUCAGAUGUCAAUGUCGAGUUUUCCCAUGAAACGUUGCAACGUCACAUAAGCCCUACGUUGACUAGAUUUGGCCGGCUUUGAUGUGGUAAAGUGAAAGGACUCUGUAAGAAAAUUCAAAAAUUAGGAAGUACCGACACUAUUCAAUAACAUUCAUGUUAGGUCAGACACUCCGAAACGUAUUUAAUACUCUCCAACAUAAUCAACACUUAAUCAACAAAUUUUAACAAAUGAGAAAAGAAGAAAACAUAAUAUUCUCUUCUUUUCCGACUCUCAUUUUUUGUGACACAUAAUUUAUCCAUCAAGUUUGUUUUUUCUCUCUCUUCUCCUUCAACAUAUUCUAACACACGAGUCUAGAAUAUGAAUUGCUUGUUUUUUCUUCAAAUUUUAUAAAUUAUUGGAAUGGAGUUAAAUUUAUCAAAUUGAAACAAUAAAUAAUAUCAAUAAAUGGUGAAUUAAUGUUUUUAGUGUAAAAUAAUUCUAGACUUUUAUUUAUUUAUUAAUUUACGAAUUUGAAUUAAAUUAAUUUGAUUAAAAUGAUACACUUAAUAUACAACAUGUCUCAAAUUCUCUUUUUCUUCUUCUUUUUUUUUAUAAAUAAUGUGUUGGCGUGUUACGUUGCAUUGUGUCGUUUAUCGGUAUUAGUACUACUUAGAUCAAAAGUAUAGAGAUUCGAUUAGGAAUUUCGUAAAUUUAUUGAGCCGGGCGCAUUCCUUUGGUGCAUCCCUUGCCAGUUGGCCGACGCUUCAAAUCUUUGACCCGAGUCCAAUAAUUAGGACACUACGCAAAGAUAUGACCUGUCCCGGAUAAUGGCUGGAAUCAUCAAAAUCAGAUGAGCUGUUCCUUUCGUUGGUAGGUUGACUCGCGCGCGCUAACGCGAUAAGGCACGAUUACGUGGACAAUUUAUCCUCUUCCUGCUCCUGCGGAUAAAAUGCGUACAUUUUUUAUUUAUUUAUUAAUCUGACAGGUCAUGCACUGUCUGCAAGCACUAAUCUCCGAGAACUUCGGUCCCAGAUUUUAUUUUUAAAACUUUGCGUGAAGCAUUUACUAAGUAAUCUAAUAAUAUAUAUUCGAUACCUUAACUUUCCCAUCGCAUCUGAAAUACGUGCUUUAAAAAUUGGUAUAUCUAAUGUAUAGAAUGACACGACUUUUACUGUCCGUGUGUUUAGCAAAAACCGUCGCUUUUAUUGGUUAAAAUAAUAAGUUAUUGUACCAAUGGUGUUUUCGCAUUUUGAAAUGGAGCUUCGUAUUCUUCCAAUUUUUAAAUAUUGAUGAGUGAUUUGGAUGUACACGCUUCCCCGAAUUGAGGAGGCAUUACAGCCGCUAUUCAGGCGGUCCGUCUAUUGUGAUUGAUUGUCCUUUACGUGAUAUGUCCACCAUCCUUUGACAAUUCUCCUUUUACUUGCAAAAAAAAAUUAGAAUUAUGAGUACCUAUUUGAGUACCUAUUUUGCACCGCAUGUCAAAAAUCGCAAAUUUCACCAUGGAGUCGGAAGAAUGGGCUCGAUGACAUGGUUUGAAUAAAUAAAAGUAAAUCUAUAUCAACAAAAAAAAAAUAUUAAAAAGACUGAAUUGCAAAAUGCGAAUAAGUUGGAGAUCCAAUUCUAUGAUUAACUUAAAGUUGAGAUGUUCUUGGGGAUGUCAGGCAUUACUAGAAGCAUUUUGCAUAAAAUUUUAGAUUCUCAUCACACAAACAACAUACUUCGACUUUGAGAUCAAGCAAGACCUCAAAUUGCGAAAAACAAAGUGCCCGGAGAUUUGGUCUAAUUUCUUUUUUUCUUUUUUUGGCAUUCAUUGUUCUAAUUUUUUUUAAUGGAUUAGAUGGGGCAAUUGGUUCCUUGCGAGGACACUCGGUUAUCAAAUUCCUGAUAUAUAUCAAUAAUUAAGAGUCAUUUUCUAACACGCUAUGCUGAGGUUUAAGUCAUGUCCCGCACGUGUAGCAUAGUCGCGUCACGCUAGGAAUGAACAUCAAUAAUUGUAUCCGGCAAUAACGAUAAUCGUCGACUAUGCUCAGUAAAUUGGGAUAUGAGUUUCUGUUUAAUGGACCGUGAUCUAUCGCGCCACCUUUUGGACUAAGCAAAAGUAACGUUGGUGUAAGAAAAUUUGCACAAUGAGUGCUGUUUCAUUCUCAAACAAGACCACCUCAAUCUUCAAUACAGCACAAACUAAAGACACGCUUUAAGAACAAACGUUGAAACGGCAGCAUUACUACACUUAUUCAAGAUCCUGCAACUUCUAAUGAGCUCAACGAUCGCGAAUUCUCGAACAUGGAAACUGCACAAGCUGAGGAGACGGAGAGAUCACUGGUACUGAGGGGCCAGCACGCCCUCCUUGACGAUGUAAUUCUGGAGAGGGAAUUCCUCUCCCUUGAAGUACCUAUCCAGCAUGUCUUUGGUUCCGGCCGCAUAUCGCAGCUGCACCAAAACCAAAUUCAAAAGCCAGAGCAUGAUUAAAAGGCGAAACGGUGCCUUGCUUAUUGAAAACGAGAGACGAGAAGUAUGGAGAUGUAUAGUACCUGGGCGUCUAUAGUUGUGCCGGAAAUAUGAGGCGUCAUGGCCUGGUUCGGCAUGUACCGCCAGGGGUGGUCCUUCGGUGCAGGCUGUGGGAACCAGACAUCUCCACUAUAACCUGAAAGACCAGACAGAUGAAAACUGAACAUGAUCGGGAAAUGACAACUUAUA
rnacentral:lncRNA from 1 species